UACGGAGGGGGCUAGCGUUGUUCGGAAUUACUGGGCGUAAAGCGCACGUAGGCGGAUCAGUUAGUCGGGGGUGAAAUCCCGGGGCUCAACCCCGGAACUGCCUUCGAUACUGCUGGUCUGGAGUCCGAGAGAGGUGAGUGGAAUUCCGGAGUGUAGAGGUGAAAUUCGUAGAUAUUCGGAGGAACACCAGUGGCGAAGGCGGCUCACUGGCUCGGUACUGACGCUGAGGUGCGAAAGCGUGGGGAGCAAACAGG
rnacentral:rRNA from 1 species